GAUGAACGCUAGCUACAGGCUUAACACAUGCAAGUCGAGGGGCAGCAUGGUCUUAGCUUGCUAAGGCCGAUGGCGACCGGCGCACGGGUGAGUAACACGUAUCCAACCUGCCGUCUACUCUUGGACAGCCUUCUGAAAGGAAGAUUAAUACAAGAUGGCAUCAUGAGUCCGCAUGUUCACAUGAUUAAAGGUAUUCCGGUAGACGAUGGGGAUGCGUUCCAUUAGAUAGUAGGCGGGGUAACGGCCCACCUAGUCUUCGAUGGAUAGGGGUUCUGAGAGGAAGGUCCCCCACAUUGGAACUGAGACACGGUCCAAACUCCUACGGGAGGCAGCAGUGAGGAAUAUUGGUCAAUGGGCGAGAGCCUGAACCAGCCAAGUAGCGUGAAGGAUGACUGCCCUAUGGGUUGUAAACUUCUUUUAAUAAAGGAAUAAAGUCGGUAUGGAUA
rnacentral:rRNA from 1 species